UGAUUAGGAAUGGCAAAGACUUCGGGCC
rnacentral:sRNA from 1 species